CCUUCGAUAGCUCAGUUGGUAGAGCGGUGGACUGUUGUUCCACAGGCCCCUGGUUCGAAUCCAGUUCGAAGCG